UUGUAGUUCUAGAGAAGGGCUUUUCCGCGUUGGACCGUGUACAAGUCUCCUGGAAUGGAGCGUCAUAGAGGGUGAGAAUCCCGUCCAUGACACGGACUCCCAAUGCUCUGUGUUGUCCUCUCAAAGAGUCGAGUUGUUUGGGAAUGCAGCUCAAAAUGGGUGGUAAAUUCCAUCUAAAGCUAAAUAUUGGCGAGAGACCGAUAGCGAACAAGUACCGUGAGGGAAAGAUGAAAAGCACUUUGGAAAGAGAGUUAAACAGUACGUGAAAUUGUUGAAAGGGAAACGCUUGAAGUCAGUCGCGUUCCGUGGAACUCAGCCUUACCUCGGUCUGGUGUACUUUCCAUGUGAACGGGUCAACGUCAAUUUUGGUCGGUGGAUAAAGGCAUUGGGAAUGUAGUGCCGCUUCGGUAGCAUGUUAUAGCCCUUUGUUGCAUACGCUGGCUGGGAUUGAGGACCGCAGUGUGCCCUUGUGGCCGGGGGUUCGCCCCACGUUACACACUUAGGAUGUUGACAUAAUGGCUUUAAGCGACCCGUCUUGAAACACGGACCAAGGAGUCUAACAUGCUUGCGAGUGUUCGGGUGGAAAACCCUUGCGCGUAAUGAAAGUGAAAGUUGGGAACCUCCGCAAGGGGGUGCACCGACGCCCGGCCCAGACGUUCUCUGACGGUGCUGCGGUAGAGCAAGUACGUUGGGACCCGAAAGAUGGUGAACUAUGCCUGAAUAGGGCGAAGCCAGAGGAAACUCUGGUGGAGGCUCGUAGCGAUU
rnacentral:rRNA from 1 species